UGGGGAAUAUUGCACAAUGGGCGCAAGCCUGAUGCAGCCAUGCCGCGUGUAUGAAGAAGGACUUCGGGUUGUAAAGUACUUUCAGCGGGGAGGAAGGCGAUAAGGUUAAUAACCUUGUCGAUUGACGUUACCCGCAGAAGAAGCACCGGCUAACUCCGUGCCAGCAGCCGCGGUAAUACGGAGGGUGCAAGCGUUCAUCGGAAUUACUGGGCGUAAAGCGCACGCAGGCGGUCUGUCAAGUCGGAUGUGAAAUCCCCGGGCUCAACCUGGGAACUGCAUUCGAAACUGGCAGGCUAGAGUCUUGUAGAGGGGGGUAGAAUUCCAGGUGUAGCGGUGAAAUGCGUAGAGAUCUGGAGGAAUACCGGUGGCGAAGGCGGCCCCCUGGACAAAGACUGACGCUCAGGUGCGAAAGCGUGGGGAGCAAACA
rnacentral:rRNA from 1 species